rnacentral:rRNA from 1 species
CAAAUCAGGUGGGAUUACCCGCUGAACUUAAGCAUAUCAAUAAGCGGAGGAAAAGAAACUAACAAGGAUUCCCCUAGUAACGGCGAGUGAAGAGGGAAAAGCCCAAAUUUGUAAUCUGGCUCUUUUAGAGUCCGAGUUGUAAUUUUGAGAACUGUUUUCAGUGCUGGACCAUGUUUAAGUCUGUUGAAAAACAGCAUCAUUGAGGGUGAUAAUCCCGUUCAUGAUAUGGACUACCAGUACUUUAUGAUACAGUCUCUAAGAGUCGAGUUGUUUGGGAAUGCAGCUCAAAGUGGGUGGUAAAUUCCAUCUAAGGCUAAAUAUAGGUGAGAGACCGAUAGCAAACAAGUACCGUGAGGGAAAGAUGAAAAGAACUUUGGAAAGAGAGUUAACAGUACGUGAAAUUGCUGAAAGGGAAACAAUUGAAGUUAGCCUUGUUAUUGUCAGUUCAGCUCUUUUAGAGUGUAUUCUGAUGAUUAACGACCAACAUCAGUCUUUGAGUGCUGGAUAAGGGUUUUGGAAAUGUAGCAGUCUCGGCUGUGUUAUAGUCCAUUACUUUGAUACAGUGCUUGGGAUUGAGGAUCGCAGUAAGCCAUUUUAUGGUGGACCAAAUUUUUGGUCUUCUUACUGAGGAUGUUGGUGAAAUA